UACGUAGGGGGCAAGCGUUGUCCGGAAUCAUUGGGCGUAAAGAGCGUGUAGGCGGCCCGGUAAGUCCGCUGUGAAAGCCCCGGGCUCAACCCGGGAAGUGCAUUUAAAACUACAAAACUUGAAUAUGGAAGAGGGUCGUGGAAUUCCAGGUGUAGUGGUGAAAUACGUAGAUAUCUGGAGGAACACCGGUGGCGAAGGCGGCGACCUGGUCCAAUAUUGACACUCAUACACGAAAGCGUGGGGAUCAAACAGG
rnacentral:rRNA from 1 species